CCUCCAAAGAAGUUCACGUCAAAGUUGGGCAGAGGGAAAGAAAACCUCGAUCAGCAACUCUGUUCCACGUUACCAGCAUGCAGAUGGCAACUCCUCCAAGAACAUCACUCCAGACAUUCAAAAAGGGAGAACCCAAACCAGAGGUCGUCAUCCACCCUCCUCUUCUCACCCUUCCUCUCGUCCCUGUGCAUAUCAGUGUGUUUUUAUGCCCCGAAACGCCUAGUUAGGGACCUCCGAUCAAAAAACUUUCUUCAUCAAAGUUGUUCGCCUAUGUCUCUUCUUUCUAGCCUCAAAAUGUCAGCUCCAUCGGAGUCGUUUUGAGACCUGUACACCCCUCAAAGCGGAAGCUGUUCGGAACGAGCCUGUUCUGGAUUUCUGCUUGAAUUCCCUCUCUUGCUCUACCCGAAUCCCCCACAUCUUGCUUGAGACUGAUACCAACAGUUGAUUGAGCGAAUUUCUUGGCCUGCACCUGGGCUCGAUCCAAUCAGCUCCCUCAGCUCUCUUUCCUGUUGAAACCCUCAAGAAAAACUCACCUUUUGGUUAGUCUUUGGCUCGAUAUCGUGGUAGGAUCUUGUGAAGUUGGUGGUUGCUACAAGGUUGCAUGGAGGCCAAGUACUGCAAGAGAAAGCCCGAGUUCCAGGUAGGGGAUGCCUUUAACUCUAUCUAUGCUUUUCUUGCAUAUACUAUGUUUUAUAUGAGGCCUCUUGCAUGGUUUUAAAAAUUAUCUAUUUUACAAUUGAAAUGGUUUGCAUGGAUUGGAUUGAUGUGUUGGCAAUUGAUGGGGAAGUAAGGAGAGGUCUGUCCCUCCUUGAGCCACCGGUGGUGGGCAGUGUGCACCAUGCCCUUGUUAUUGAAUUAUCCCCUUGUCUCUAGCCUUGUGAUUAUUGAAUUCCGGAAAGUGAUUGGCUAGAUGGACGGUUAUGAUGAAAGUUGUGGAAGAAGAUCAAUUGCUGUGGGAUUGUAGUUACGUGGUGACGAUCACGUGGAAUCGCAAACUGGUUUUUAUCUAUUACUUUUUAUCAAAGCUAUAACUCAUGUUUUUAAACUUAGAUAUGGGGGCGGGCAUGGGCAAUGACUGGAUGUAGGAGCCUAACCCCUACUUUAGUUUGUUUUGCAGGCUGUUGUUGUCGAAGCUUGGGUACCUUGGAGGCCAAAAUUUGUUUUGUAGCUUGUUCGAUCUCAUUAAAUUUUUGUAACGUUGUGUAUGGUUGAUGAUGUGUGUGAUUGCUUACCACUAAAGUGGAACCCUAGGGUUAGAACCUCCAUUUGAGUUUAGGUCCUAGUGGGCUAGACCUAGAAGACUCACGUAAAUUACCAUUCAAUGAACAUAAUGCAAACUUGGGCUAAGAACAAAAAAAAUGACGUAGGUUCUAAAACUCAACACAACACCACCUUCCCUUCCUCUUCCUCGCCUAGUUCGUAAUCUUGUGAUUACAAGCCAAGCCCACUAUACAAGCCCAAGAAUUUCGGGCUUAUAGAUUCCUUGUUCUCCAACCCAAUGGCCUUGUCUCUUUGAGAAAUUCUAGGCCCAAAACACUUGCUCCCUAAGUGUCGCGGGCGGAGGUGGCGCUGUGGUAAUCCGGUCUCCGGGUCGCCACAGCUCUUUAGAGUGUAUGAUAUAUAAAUAUAGAUUUAUGAAAAAUUAGUGUCUUUAAAGAUUUAUUUAUAAAUAAAACCCGCAAGGCCCAGCCCGAAAAAGCCCGCAAGGCCCGCUUUAUAUGGACGGGCUUGGAUAAUUCGAUUUUCAAUAAAGCUCGGCCCGGCCCGUUAUUAUUUUAAAAUGUAGUAAGCCCCGACCCGCUG